CAGCAGCCACGGGAAUACGAAGGGGGCUAGCGUUGUUCGGAAUUAUUGGGCGUAAAGGGCUCGCAGGCGGUUUCUUAAGUCUGAUGUGAAAGCCCCCGGCUCAACCGGGGAGGGUCAUUGGAAACUGGGAAACUUGAGUGCAGAAGAGGAGAGUGGAAUUCCACGUGUAGCGGUGAAAUGCGUAGAGAUGUGGAGGAACACCAGUGGCGAAGGCGACUCUCUGGUCUGUAACUGACGCUGAGGAGCGAAAGCGUGGGGAGCGAACAGGAUUAGAUACCCCUGUAGUCCCUGUCUCUUAUAA
rnacentral:rRNA from 1 species